GAAAAAUUUCCCCCUGUUCUUCGAAAACUCUAGAACCAGCGAGUAUGAGAGGGAGAUUCAGACAGAAACUCCUUCGAUCUUCCCUCUUCUUCUUCCUCGUUCAUUAAGAUUGAGGCCAGCGAACCUAGUCGUCGAUGAGAGCAGGAGCUUUGCUCACUGCUACUGUAACGUCCACUGGAAACCCCUGCGUUGAGGUGCAGAUCGCUAAACCAAGGCUCCCGUGUUGAGCGUCCAAGCUCCUCCUCUUUCCCUUUUCUUCUUUUCGUCAAUCAUCAUGAGGCUUCCUUCUCCGUCAGUCAGUUCGCCGUCGAUAGGUGUGUGAAUUCCAGCCAUCGCCAUCAAGUCUUCAUCUUCUCUGUUCGGACGUCGGGUUCCUCUUUCCUCUUCGAGCAGCAGCAAUAAUCUGGUGCGUAACCUUUCUGGUGUGGAUGUUGGGUGCAUCAGACUUUUCCCUCCCUUAUUUCAAUGUUGACUGCCUCUCUUCUCCUUCCUCAUAUCCACGCGGUGACACUUUCUUCUCCAUAUGGUUCUGAAUCCGCUGAUUUGUGUGUACCGUUAGAGCUUUAAGCUUUGCCUUUCAUUUGUUUCAACUGAUCAGGUGAGUAAAUCUCACCUCUUUCUUCCUUUCUUGAUCUGUCUAUUUGCACAUAGGUGGUUUAUGGCUAAAGCUGUGAGUAUUGCUUCCUUGUUGCUGCGUGCAUACCAAUUUGGGUUGAAAUUGUGAAUUUUUCUCUAUUUUUCUGCAAACUGUGAGUAAUGUGCAAGGCUGAAAAUUUGAUUUUUCUUGAGUAUUAAAAAUUUAUAAUCACUGAAAGAUUUAAAUCGAAGAGUUGGAUUAUUUCAAUUAUAGAUAUUAGAAAAUUUGGAAAAUGAAAUUUGAAGAAAAGGAAGUUUGGAAGUUGUCAAAGGACUCAUGCUCAUAAUGUGUUUGAUAAGUUGCCUUUGAGAGAGUCUUGCUCGAUUUUUAUGUUUUUGAAGUUUCAUUAAUCAUUGUGAGGAGUAUAUUUAGUUUGGGUGUUAUUAAUUCAUGAAUUUAACUUGUAAGUUGCAAGUUAAAAGAAUUGGAUUAUGAAUUUGCAUGUAACUACUUAAAUUCUUGAGGAUAGUAUGGUAAUUUAUAGUUACUGGAUAAAAGAUGGAAGGUUAGAAAAUUCUAUUUGUAUGGUUGAACAUAAUGUACCUAAAGUGUUUGAUGCAAAGCCUAAGAAAAAUUUUUAUCUCAAAUAAAUAGGUUGGUAUGGCUAAAGAAUUAUAUAAGAAAUUGGUGACUUGAAUGGUAAUAUUUGGACAUUGUUAUUUGUAAAUUUAAUUGAGUUCUUACAAGAGAGUUUAUUUAAGAAGUUGUUGAAGUCUUAUUUGAGUUUUGGACUAUUAAGAGUUGCAAAAUUGAAAGGUUAUAAAGUACAUUAUCAUUUUAGAAGUUAUACUUGGAUGCUUAGAAAUGGAUAGGCAAUAGAAUUAAAGGUUUUGUGUUUUAUUGAAUGGUUUGGAAUGUCACACAUUAAAUGUUUGGUAGAAAGCCUAAGAAGAAAUCUUUAUGAAUGAAUUGUGUUCUUAGAACUUCAAAAUUAUUAGUGUUAACUUUAGUUGAAUGGAUUCUCUCGAAAUGGAAUCUUGUUGGUUAAAAAUAAAUAAAUAAAUAAAUAAAGUCCAUUAAAGUAUUAUUAUUAUAUAUUAUAGGAUGUUUGGAAGGAGGGAAGCUCAAAUAGAGUCAUAAGAAAUGAGUUUGGAGCCUUGAGGAUACUACAGAACACUGGUUGCUAACGGCAGUUCCGUUAGCCCUUGGCGUGCCAUGGUACACCUAGCUAGCAGGGUGUUUAUAGGAGGUGCUAACCCCGUGCGAUGGCCAACGCACGUGGAAUGGAGGGAUGAUUAUUCGUGAGCAUCGUACUCACGUUUGUUUCAUGGCUUCAAGCUACGUUUGGUUAGCAUUACCUUCGUGGACUGUGUCCACGUUUGUUUCGUGGCUUCAGCUGCAUUUGAUUACUUACCUUCGUGAAUUGUGUGUCCACGUUGGUCUUCGUGGCAAGAGCCACGUUUGGUUAUUUAUCCUCGUGGGCUUUGUGUCCACGUUUGUUAAUUGUUUUGAUAAAUCCCUGUAAUAUGAACUUGAUUAUUUGAUGAUUUUACAUUCCAUUGGUUUUUAAUUAGUGAAUUAUUUAUAAUUAUUUAUUUUAUUUAUUUAUUUUCUUGCAAUUAAGUGAUAAUAAUACUUGAUAUGAGAUUUUAACAGUUUAAGAUUUUAUUUAAGUUUUAUAAAAUUCUUUUAUUUUUGAAGUUUAUUAGAUUUUUAUGAAAAUCGUUGCCUCUUUGAAUUGCAUAAUUGUUUCAAACUUUCCUUUUAUUCAUGUUCAAUUAUUUAUUAUUGGGACGUUAUUCAUUGGAAAAGAUAUUUUGGUCUCAGAUUAUAUAGUUGAACUCGUGACUCAAGAUAUCCACAAAGGAGUUUUAUUGUUGAGUUGAAGUAGAAGAAUUAUUUUAGUCAAAUUUUAAUUUGAUAAAGAAUUUGAACUUAUACCUAUGUUGGCAUCUGGUAUUAGGUGCUCCACAUAGACUACAGGUAGGAUCCUCACAGUUCUUUUAAAAUUGAAUAUCUGAUUUAAUAUUGUAAAAAUCUUUAAUUACUCUAUUAGUGUGUUUAACGUAUUAAUUUUAAAGUUUCUCCGAUUACGGCUUAAGGGAUAUGACUUUUGUACCCAUAUCCCGUGCCAGUCAUACCUAAUUUUGGGGUGUGACAUUUGUCUACCGCAUAUUAGGGCUAUUGUACUAUAUCACAUCGAUGCAAAUCUUCUAAACAAGAGAUCAUUCAAGGAAUACAAGGAUGCUAUGGAAUGAAAUAUAAUACAGUGCCCCUGACAAAUCAAGAACAAUUAUGAUUGCGGCUACUGUGUGAUGAGGUAUGCUAAAGACAUUGUCACUCACGGGCAGGCUACAAUCCCCCUCACGUACUAUCCAGAUUGUGCUACACCUCAUUUUGAUGAUACCCAAAUUAAUGAAGUUCUCAAAUAGUGGAGUAAAUAUGUAUAUGAAAAUUAGGUCACAUCCAAUAUGAGGUGAUAAUAUAUAGUUAGUCUAGGACUAAAUUAGUUUAGUUGUCAAUAUAUAGUUUAGAUAUAAUUUAGGGAUUGGUAUUUUACCUCAAAUUAAUUGAUUUAUAUCAUUGAAUUUUAAAUUCAAUACUUUUGAUGUAAUUAAAUUGUAAAUAUUAUAGUUUUUAAUUAAAUAGGGUA